rnacentral:rRNA from 1 species
UACGGGGGGGGCAAGCGUUGUUCGGAAUUACUGGGCGUAAAGGGCUCGUAGGCGGCCAGCUAAGUCGGAUGUGAAAUCCCCAGGCUUAACCUGGGAACUGCAUCCGAUACUGGAUGGCUUGAAUCCGGGAGAGGGAUGCGGAACUCCAGGUGUAGCGGUGAAAUGCGUAGAUAUCUGGAGGAACACCGGUGGCGAAGGCGGCAUCCUGGACCGGCAUUGACGCUGAGGAGCGAAAGCCAGGGGAGCAAACGGG